GGAGAGGUGGCUGAGUGGCCGAUAGCAACCGCCUGCUAAGCGGUUGGCCUGGGAAACCGGGCCCCUGGGUUCGAAUCCCAGCCUCUCCGCCA
rnacentral:tRNA from 1 species